UACGUAGGGACCAAGCGUUGUUCGGAUUUACUGGGCGUAAAGGGCGCGUAGGCGGCGUGUUAAGUCACUUGUGAAAUCUCUAAGCUUAACUUAGAACGGUCAAGUGAUACUGACGUGCUAGAGUGCAGGAAGGGGCAACCGGAAUUCUUGGUGUAGCGGUGAAAUGCGUAGAUAUCAAGAGGAACACCUGAGGUGAAGACGGGGUUGCUGGGCUGACACUGACGUGAGGCGCGAAAGCUAGGGUAGCAAACGGG
rnacentral:rRNA from 1 species